UACGUAGGGUGCAAGCGUUGUCCGGAAUUAUUGGGCGUAAAGAGCUCGUAGGCGGUUUGUCGCGUCUGCUGUGAAAACCUGGGGCUUAACUCCGGGCCUGCAGUGGGUACGGGCAGACUAGAGUGCGGUAGGGGAGACUGGAAUUCCUGGUGUAGCGGUGAAAUGCGCAGAUAUCAGGAGGAACACCGAUGGCGAAGGCAGGUCUCUGGGCCGUAACUGACGCUGAGGAGCGAAAGCGUGGGGAGCGAACAGG
rnacentral:rRNA from 1 species